rnacentral:rRNA from 1 species
CUCCUACGGGAGGCAGCAGUGGGGAAUCUUGCGCAAUGGGGGCAACCCUGACGCAGCCAUGCCGCGUGAACGAUGAAGGCCUUAGGGUUGUAAAGUUCUUUUACCCGUGACGAUGAUGACGGUAACGGGGGAAUAAGCUCCGGCUAACUUCGUGCCAGCAGCCGCGGUAA